ensembl:lncRNA
AUGAAGCCGACUUCUCCACUGCCCCGUUUGCACCCUCGAGGGCUGCCCUGGAAUGCCGGCGACACCGCGGUCAUGGCACGGGAGCCAUUGGGAGCCACCUCAUGCAGUGCGGAUGGAGUGUGGGAACAGCGACCCGGAGCUGGAGCUGGAGCAGGCUCCGAGCGGGGACCGAGUGUCAGAGCGGGGACCGAGUGUCGGAACAGGGGCCGAGUGUCAGAGCGGGGACCGAUGUCGGAACAGGGACCGAGUGUCAGACAGGCAACCGAGUGUCAGAGCAGGGACCGAAUGUCAGAACAGGGACCGAGUGUCAGACAGGCAACCGAGUGUCAGAGCAGGGACCGAAUGUCAGAACAGGGACGGAGUGUCAGAGCAGGGACCGAAUGUCGGAGCAGGGACCGAGUGUCAGAACAGGGACCGAGUAUCGGAGCGGGGACCGAGUGUCGGAAGGGACAGGGACCGAGUGUCCGAACAGGGACCGAGUAUCGGAGCACGGACCGAGUGUCGGGACAGGGACCGAGUGUCGGGACAGGGACCGAGUAUCGGAGCAAGGACCGACUGUCGGGACAGGGACCGAGUGUCAGAACAGGGACCGAGUAUCGGAGCACGGACCGAGUGUCGGGACAGGGACCGAGUGUCGGGACAGGGACCGAGUAUCGGAGCAAGGACCGACUGUCGGGACAGGGACCGAGUGUCAGAACAGGGACCGAGUAUCGGAGCACGGACCGAGUGUCGGGACAGGGACCGAGUGUCGGGACAGGGACCGAGUAUCGGAGCAAGGACCGACUGUCGGGACAGGGACCGAGUGUCAGAACAGGGACCGAGUAUCGGAGCACGGACCGAGUGUCGGGACAGGGACCGAGUGUCGGGACAGGGACCGAGUAUCGGAGCAAGGACCGACUGUCGGGACAGGGACCGAGUGUCAGAACAGGGACCGAGUAUCGGAGCACGGACCGAGUGUCGGGACAGGGACCGAGUGUCGGGACAGGGACCGAGUAUCGGAGCAAGGACCGACUGUCGGGACAGGGACCGAGUGUCAGAACAGGGACCGAGUAUCGGAGCACGGACCGAGUGUCGGGACAGGGACCGAGUGUCGGGACAGGGACCGAGUAUCGGAGCAAGGACCGACUGUCGGGACAGGGACCGAGUGUCAGAACAGGGACCGAGUAUCGGAGCACGGACCGAGUGUCGGGACAGGGACCGAGUGUCGGGACAGGGACCGAGUAUCGGAGCAAGGACCGACUGUCGGGACAGGGACCGAGUGUCAGAACAGGGACCGAGUAUCGGAGCACGGACCGAGUGUCGGGACAGGGACCGAGUGUCGGGACAGGGACCGAGUAUCGGAGCAAGGACCGACUGUCGGGACAGGGACCGAGUGUCAGAACAGGGACCGAGUAUCGGAGCACGGACCGAGUGUCGGGACAGGGACCGAGUGUCGGGACAGGGACCGAGUAUCGGAGCAAGGACCGACUGUCGGGACAGGGACCGAGUGUCAGAACAGGGACCGAGUAUCGGAGCACGGACCGAGUGUCGGGACAGGGACCGAGUGUCGGGACAGGGACCGAGUAUCGGAGCAAGGACCGACUGUCGGGACAGGGACCGAGUGUCAGAACAGGGACCGAGUAUCGGAGCACGGACCGAGUGUCGGGACAGGGACCGAGUGUCGGGACAGGGACCGAGUAUCGGAGCAAGGACCGACUGUCGGGACAGGGACCGAGUGUCAGAACAGGGACCGAGUAUCGGAGCACGGACCGAGUGUCGGGACAGGGACCGAGUGUCGGGACAGGGACCGAGUAUCGGAGCAAGGACCGACUGUCGGGACAGGGACCGAGUGUCAGAACAGGGACCGAGUAUCGGAGCACGGACCGAGUGUCGGGACAGGGACCGAGUGUCGGGACAGGGACCGAGUAUCGGAGCAAGGACCGACUGUCGGGACAGGGACCGAGUGUCAGAACAGGGACCGAGUAUCGGAGCACGGACCGAGUGUCGGGACAGGGACCGAGUGUCGGGACAGGGACCGAGUAUCGGAGCAAGGACCGACUGUCGGGACAGGGACCGAGUGUCAGAACAGGGACCGAGUAUCGGAGCACGGACCGAGUGUCGGGACAGGGACCGAGUGUCGGGACAGGGACCGAGUAUCGGAGCAAGGACCGACUGUCGGGACAGGGACCGAGUGUCAGAACAGGGACCGAGUAUCGGAGCACGGACCGAGUGUCGGGACAGGGACCGAGUGUCGGGACAGGGACCGAGUAUCGGAGCAAGGACCGACUGUCGGGACAGGGACCGAGUGUCAGAACAGGGACCGAGUAUCGGAGCACGGACCGAGUGUCGGGACAGGGACCGAGUGUCGGGACAGGGACCGAGUAUCGGAGCAAGG